UAACAAGUAGCAAAGAAGUUCACGUCAUCUUCUUCUUCUGUCACCGGACGGAAACUUCACUACCACCAAAACUCAACCAAUAUGUAAAUUGGAGGUACUGUUCCAUUCGGAUUUCCAUCCUCAACCUAGCUCUAAUCCUUGAACUCUCAUAAUCUUCGCCAAUCCUAUUUAAUUUCAUAUUUUGUUCAAGAACCCUAAAUGCUUCAACUUAAAUUAAACACUAAUGGAUUAUUGAAUUUAGCAAUAGUCAUUGGGGAAUGAAUCAUAUUAACAUGAAGAACAAGAUUGUAUGAAGAACUUGGUGGAAAGAGAGAUGGAGACCCUACCAAUAGGGACGUGAUUUUCCCCGGUAAUUGUUGUAAUUGAAGUUGAUGAAGAAUGGUGGUGCAAGAAACCCAAGUACAAGCUUCGAAUUCCUCAAGUAUAAAUCAUUCCCUUUGACUUUGAUUCUUAUUACUGUGUAGUAAGAUAGUUAUAGAUGUAAGACAGACAGUAAGCCAUUCAACUUUUAGUAUUGAGGCACCAACAACACGACCAUAAAAGAAUUUGGGUGGUUUGCAUCUUUUUGGCUAGAGAUUGUCGAUGAGUUUAUAUACUACCUUUGCCAGACUUGUGACUAUGUCCAUAAGUCAUUGGAAAUGAUAGUAUUAAUUGACAAAUAUUGCUUAGGGGAUGAUGUGGAUAAUACUUGAACAAUUUCAACAUCCUUGUGCGGUGUUCAUGAAGGCUGAGCAGAAGAAACUAUAGUUGGUCCAGACUGCAGUAAUUGACUCGGGGUUACCAGAGUAGGGACUGGUGCAACUUUUUUGGAUCAACAAUUAGUGUUUGGAUUAAUGAUCAUUUUGGAAAAAAGGCAACCACCAUUGCAGAUGUUAUUUUUUCUAUUGCAACAAUUGUCAUGAUUGUUGUACUAGAUCCUUACACUCUCAUGCCCGACCAUGUUCUCGUUGGAAGUUGCUUCGGUUACUACUCCAUACGCAAGUGAACCACGCUCCUUGUAUGUUUCCUACACCUCAUCUUUGUCACCUUUAAUACCAAUGAUUGCAAAACCGUUGUGCAUACAGACUGCCAAAACAAGGCCUUGAAUGUCGGGAUGGUGCUUCACUCUCCAAACACCUCCACCUAAACUGAUUGAAGUUUCAUCAACAGGUUUUGAGAUUGAUCUUAAAUCCCAAACCCUAAAGAAUUCAACAUAGCUGCCAUUUAAUAAUCUAUUUGGGUAAUGAGGACUCUUUUCAAUGCUAGUAAUACCUAUUUUGUUGACUUCGGAGUUCUUUAAUAAUGGUUUUUCUGCUUUGGACAUAACAUGCUUGCAAGCGUAAUUGAUUAUCUCAACACCCUUUGAUUUACAUCAUGAACAUUAGUUCCAUUUUCUGUCACAAGAAUGCAAAAUUGUGUCAUCUGAACUCUCUCAUCAUCACUAUCAGGGAUAACGACGGUGUCGCGUUUCAUAGUCGCGGACAAAACAGUGAAGCUCCUGUGGCUGCCGCUAAUGUUGUCUGAUGAAAAAUUCUUCUCCUAACAAAUGCCACAUUGAGAUGAUUUUCUAUCAAGGGUCUAAUGUGCAUUACAUUGUCUCUUUUAGAUAUGUGACACCGUCUUCGUGUUUGAGAAUUGUUAUGUCCCUUCUUUGAUAUACAUGUGGUCUUGGGCUACCGAGGUAUUCGAAUGGAUCGAUAGGAGUAUCAUUGAUUCUUAUACUGAUAGAAGCUUUUGAAUUCAAAAAAUUAUUAGGCCCUAAGCUCAUGUUUGCAGAAGAUUUAUGUGGAAGCAUAUAAGGCAUUCCCUCACCAGCUACGACAGAGUGCUUCGAAGAUCCUCGAGUAUUUUUACUAUGAAUAUUGAACUGCUGCACUGCCAUGUCAAUGGAGUUUCCAACAAGUGAGUCAAUUUAUCCAGUUGGACAAAAAACUUGACAUUUAUGUCCUCCUCUAUCAGAGAUUGAAUCGCAGUACUAGAAUGACGGUAAGUCUGAGCUAAGAAGCAGAGACUUAUAAUUGUCGUUGGAGAAUGACAUCAAGAGGCAUGCAAAGAAACAUGCAAGUCCUUCCCAUCUGUAUUUACCAGUGAUUGCUUCAAAAGAUCAGACAAUUACGAUGAUGUAGAAAGUUCACGGUAAACUCUCUCAACAUUCAAAAGAACACAAAGGCGGCGAAUUAUCAAAGCAUUAUGCUUCUCUAGCUUGAAACUGUGCACAAGGAACACGACGAGAUGUUGGAAGUGCUGAAGGUCGCGCUGCAUGCAUGAACAUCAAGAACUAACCAAAUGGCCUCAUCAGAUGGAUAUGAAAGUACUUUGAGUAGGGUGUCACUUAAUUGUUGUUGUCCUAUAAGGUGUAUCUGAUUUUAAAAGUUGUUGGUGGUGGUGUCGUUGAAACCGGAAAAGCAUAUGAUGGUUCAAAAGACUUAUUUGAGCAGUAGCAGCCUGAGAAAAUUGUCUCGACAUGUGUAGGAAUUGUUGUUCCCUGGGACACGUUUUCUUGACCAAAAAAAUUAUGGACCCGAUAUACUGCUUCGUUUCCAA